GAUGAACGCUGGCGGCGUGCCUAAUACAUGCAAGUCGAGCGAACAGAUGAGGAGCUUGCUCCUCUGACGUUAGCGGAGGACGGGUGAGUAACACGUGGAUAACCUACCUAUAAGACUGGGAUAACUUCGGGAAACCGGAGCUAAUACCGGAUAAUAUAUUGAACCGCAUGGUUCAAUAGUGAAAGACGGUUUUGCUGUCACUUAUAGAUGGAUCCGCGCCGCAUUAGCUAGUUGGUAAGGUAACGGCUUACCAAGGCAACGAUGCGUAGCCGACCUGAGAGGGUGAUCGGCCACACUGGAACUGAGACACGGUCCAUACUCCUACGGGAGGCAGCAGUAGGGAAUCUUCCGCAAUGGGCGAAAGCCUGACGGAGCAACGCCGCGUGAGUGAUGAAGGUCUUCGGAUCGUAAAACUCUGUUAUUAGGGAAGAACAAAUGUGUAAGUAACUAUGCACGUCUUGACGGUACCUAAUCAGAAAGCCACGGCUAACUACGUG
rnacentral:rRNA from 1 species